rnacentral:rRNA from 1 species
ACGUGGGUAACCUGCCCAUCAGAAGGGCAUAACACUUGGAAACAGGUGCUAAUACCGUAUAACAAUCGAAACCGCAUGGUUUUGAUUUGAAAGGCGCUUUCGGGUGUCGCUGAUGGAUGGACCCGCGGUGCAUUAGCUAGUUGGUGAGGUAACGGCUCACCAAGGCCACGAUGCAUAGCCGACCUGAGAGGGUGAUCGGCCACAUUGGGACUGAGACACGGCCCAAACUCCUACGGGAGGCAGCAGUAGGGAAUCUUCGGCAAUGGACGAAAGUCUGACCGAGCAACGCCGCGUGAGUGAAGAAGGUUUUCGGAUCGUAAAACUCUGUUGUUAGAGAAGAACAAGGAUGAGAGUAACUGUUCAUCCCUUGACGGUAUCUAACCAGAAAGCCACGGCUAACUACGUGCCAGCAGCCGCGGUAAUACGUAGGUGGCAAGCGUUGUCCGGAUUUAUUGGGCGUAAAGCGAGCGCAGGCGGUUUCUUAAGUCUGAUGUGAAAGCCCCCGGCUCAACCGGGGAGGGUCAUUGGAAACUGGGAGACUUGAGUGCAGAAGAGGAGAGUGGAAUUCCAUGUGUAGCGGUGAAAUGCGUAGAUAUAUGGAGGAACACCAGUGGCGAAGGCGGCUCUCUGGUCUGUAACUGACGCUGAGGCUCGAAAGCGUGGGGAGCAAACAGGAUUAGAUACCCUGGUAGUCCACGCCGUAAACGAUGAGUGCUAAGUGUUGGAGGGUUUCCGCCCUUCAGUGCUGCAGCUAACGCAUUAAGCACUCCGCCUGGGGAGUACGACCGCAAGGUUGAAACUCAAAGGAAUUGACGGGGGCCCGCACAAGCGGUGGAGCAUGUGGUUUAAUUCGAAGCAACGCGAAGAACCUUACCAGGUCUUGACAUCCUUUGACCACUCUAGAGAUAGAGCUUCCCCUUCGGGGGCAAAGUGACAGGUGGUGCAUGGUUGUCGUCAGCUCGUGUCGUGAGAUGUUGGGUUAAGUCCCGCAACGAGCGCAACCCUUAUUGUUAGUUGCCAUCAUUCAGUUGGGCACUCUAGCAAGACUGCCGGUGACAAACCGGAGGAAGGUGGGGAUGACGUCAAAUCAUCAUGCCCCUUAUGACCUGGGCUACACACGUGCUACAAUGGGAAGUACAACGAGUCGCGAAGUCGCGAGGCUAAGCUAAUCUCUUAAAGCUUCUCUCAGUUCGGAUUGUAGGCUGCAACUCGCCUACAUGAAGCCGGAAUCGCUAGUAAUCGCGGAUCAGCACGCCGCGGUGAAUACGUUCCCGGGCC